rnacentral:tRNA from 1 species
GGCGGAUGUACCCAAGUGGAUCAGG